ACCCACAUGUUCUAAUGGUUAGGAUAUCUGGUUCUCAGCCAGAAGGUCAAGGUUCAAUUCCUUGUGUGGGUA